CAGCCUGAUCCAGCAAUGCCGCGUGAGUGAAGAAGGCCUUCGGGUUGUAAAGCUCUUUCAGUUGAGAAGAAAAGAUUGUGACUAAUAAUUGCGAUCCAUGACGGUAUCAACAGAAGAAGCACCGGCUAACUACGUGCCAGCAGCCGCGGUAAU
rnacentral:rRNA from 1 species